rnacentral:rRNA from 1 species
AUUGAACGCUGGCGGCAGGCCUAACACAUGCAAGUCGAGCGGAGCGGCGGACGGGUGAGUAAUGCCUAGGAAUCUGACUGGUAGUGGGGGAUAACGUCCGGAAACGGGCGCUAAUACCGCAUACUAUCAGAUGAGCCUAGGUCGGAUUAGCUAGUUGGUGGGGUAAAGGCCUACCAAGGCGACGAUCCGUAACUGGUCCGAGAGGAUGAUCAGUCACACGGGAACUGAGACAAGGGCCAGACUCCGAAGGGAGGCAGCGGUGGGGAAUAUUGGACGAUGGGCGAAAGCCUGAUCCGGCCAUGCCGCGUGUGUGAAGAAGGUCUUCGUAUUGUAAAGCACUUUAAGUUGGGAGGCGUUACCAACAGAAUAAGCGCCGGCUAACUUCGUGACAGCAGCCGCGGUAAUUC